rnacentral:rRNA from 1 species
UACGUAGGGGGCUAGCGUUGUCCGGAUUUAUUGGGCGUAAAGAGCGUGUAGGCGGCCAGGUAGGUCUGCUGUGAAAACUCGAGGCUCAACCUCGAGACGUCGGCGGAAACCAUCUGGCUAGAGUCCGGAAGAGGAGAGUGGAAUUCCUGGUGUAGCGGUGAAAUGCGCAGAUAUCAGGAAGAACACCCGUGGCGAAGGCGGCUCUCUGGGCCUUACCUGACGCUGAGGCGCGAAAGCUAGGGGAGCGAACGGG